rnacentral:lncRNA from 1 species
GGAAGUGGUGGAUCGUGCGCUCAUUGUGGAGAGCGGCGCGGCGGAUGUCCAAGAGCAGCGAGAGGCUAGGGACAAGGGUAAGGCCAAGAGGCCUGCGGCUGAGGGUGCGAGCCAGACGCACUCUAGGAGGCCGCCGAAACAUCCGAGGAGCCAGCAGCAUGGACGCGGCUCAGCAGCGCAUCGAGGAGGAUCCGAUCGGCGCCGGCCUUCCCCGUGUGUGAUCUGCGGUGGCCCCCAUUACCCACCGCAGUGUCCACAGUGGGCGGGCAGGUGUUUCCAGUGUGGCCAGGAGGGC